UUAAAACCCUACACACUAACUUCAGACACAGCCUCUUCAACAACUUGAGGAAUUUUUAUCACAAAACGCCAACCUCUCUCCCCGAUUGAGUCACAGAGACCCCAGCCUUUGACUUAUUUGAAAUCAUCCUGAUCAAAUUCUCACUACAAUAUGCAAACUAAACCCUCUCAGAUUCAACCCAUCCUAACCCUAAGGGCCAAGAGCAACUUUUAUCUAUCAAACAUGACCUUGCGGUAUUCUACGGGUAAUUUUGAAAGUCAGGUAGGGAUUUGGCAUUUUGUUAUCUGGGUUAUUUGGUAAUACAACUACAAGACGAGCACAGUCAGGAGAGUAUAACUUAUCGUCAACAAGUGGAACAAGAGUUUAUAUUGAUUUGGAAAUUCCUAAGACUGCAAAUUUCAAAGAUCAGUAAAUGCUUUGUUUUGGAUUCAAGUUUUUAAUGUAUUUAUAUUAAAAUACACAAAAACUAAUAUGAUAUUAACAUUAUAUUUGUCUUUCUCUUAUCAGGUAUAGAAUUCAAUUAAAGGUUGAAGAUAGCUCAAGAAUGACCAUAUUCAUUUUAAUUUAAACUUAAGUUUGAUUUCUAUUUUUCAUUACAUAAUUUAUUGUUUCAUAUCAAGGAUAGGAAACUUUGAGACUGAAAUCCUAAUGUAUAAUCAAAGAGGAAGAGAAAAAGAAUUGUUUACAUCUUUAUACACAAUAAUUUUUCCGUGCAUCGCACGGGUUAGCGACUAGUUAAAAUUAUAUUUUCAACACUCAACUUUACUACAGUUUGUAACAAGCUACG